ACCAGCGGAGGGAUCAUUACCGAGUUUUUCUACUCACCACUGUGAACGUUACCUGUUCUUCGGGUCUCAGGCCUAGGCUGCAGGACCCGAAAUAAACUACAACUUAGUAAAUUUCUGAGGAUUUAAAAAAAUAAAUCAAAACUUUCAGCAACGGAUCUCUUGGUUCUGGCAUCGAUGAAGAACGCAGCGAAAUGCGAUAAGUAAUGUGAAUUGCAGAAUUCAGUGAACCAUCGAAUCUUUGAACGCACAUUGCGCCCGCCAGCACUCUGGCGGGCAUGCCUGUCCGAGCGUCAUUCAACCCUCAGCAUAAGCUGGUGUUGGGGACGGCACAUGCUUCUGCACGCGCCCCCCCCCGAAAUCAAUCGGCGGUCUCGUCGCGACCUCUGCGUAGUACAAUCCUCGCAGCUGGAAGCGGCUCGGCCUGCCAAAAACUCUCGCAAGAGACACCUUAUGUUGACCUCGGAUCAGGUAGGACUACCCGCUGAACUUAAGCAUAUCAAUAAGCGGAGGAAAAGAAACCAACAGGGAUUGCCUCAGUAACGGCGAGUGAAGCGGCAACAGCUCAAAUUUGAAAUCUGGCCUCAGCCCGAGUUGUAAUUUGUAGAGGAUGCUUCUGGCGACGCGCCUUCCGAGUUCCCUGGAACGGGACGCCAAAGAGGGUGAGAGCCCCGUCCGGUCGUGCGCCUAGCCUCUGUGAAGCUCCUUCGACGAGUCGAGUAGUUUGGGAAUGCUGCUCUAAAUGGGAGGUAUACGUCUUCUAAAGCUAAAUAUCGGCCAGAGACCGAUAGCGCACAAGUAGAGUGAUCGAAAGAUGAAAAGCACUUUGAAAAGAGGGUUAAAUAGUACGUGAAAUUGCUGAAAGGGAAGCGCUCAUGACCAGACUUGGGCUCGGUGAAUCAGCCGGCGUUCUCGCCGGUGCACUUUGCCGGGCCCAGGCCAGCAUCAGUUCGCCGCGGGGGAUAAAGGCGUCGGGAACGUAGCUCCUCCGGGAGUGUUAUAGACCGGCGCGUAAUACCCUGGGGUGGACUGAGGUACGCGUCUGCAAGGAU
rnacentral:sRNA from 1 species